rnacentral:rRNA from 1 species
CCUACGGGAGGCAGCAGUGGGGAAUAUUGGGCAAUGGAGGAAACUCUGACCCAGCGACGCCGCGUGCGGGAUGAAGGCCUUCGGGUUGUAAACCGCUUUCAGUAGGGAAGAAGCGAAAGUGACGGUACCUACAAAAGAAGCACCGGCUAACUAUGUGCCAGCAGCCGCGGUAAUACAUAGGGUGCAAGCGUUGUCCGGAAUUAUUGGGCGUAAAGAGCUCGUAGGUCGUUUGUUACGUCGGAUGUGAAAACCUGAGGCUCAACCUCAGGCCUGCAUUCGAUACGGGCAAACUAGAGUUUGGUAGGGGAGACUGGAAUUCCUGGUGUAGCGGUGGAAUGCGCAGAUAUCAGGAGGAACACCAAUGGCGAAGGCAGGUCUCUGGGCCAAUACUGACACUGAGGAGCGAAAGUCUGGGGAGCGAACAGGAUUAGAUACCCUGGUAGUCCAGACCGUAAACGGUGGGCACUAGUUGUGGGAACCUUCCACGGUUUCUGCGACGCAGCUAACGCAUUAAGUGCCCCGCCUGGGGAGUACGAUCGCAAGAUUAAAACUUAAAGGAAUUGACGG